rnacentral:ncRNA from 1 species
GUAAAAUCGUUGACAGGGAGAAGUAUAAAGCCAGCGGCCUUUAAAGAGAGAGUCUUCAUCGGCUGGAAAAGACUUAAGCGCCGGGCUUUAGAAAUGCACCUCUUGAGACCUUUGAAGAACGUUCGCGAAACAAGUAUUCAAAGGCGGUAUCCGCCGUUAUGGAUUCGAGUUUGAGAAAACAGAUCCGCUGUUUUCUAAACAGAGUGGAACCGCGUGUAAAAAGCGUCUCUGUC